CCCAGUAAAAUAUGGUUUCUCCAGGUGGAUCAUAAUUCAAGUAAAGUGUAAUUAUUGAUCUCCUUCCCUAAAUCAAUUGAAAGCUCGCUCUUUGCACAAUGGAAAAAAACAAAAAAUGGAGGAUGCAGAAGCAAGUAAAAGAAAACAAAAUUGAUUGACAUAUACACACUACUAUAUAUACAAUAGAUAAUUAAUAAGAACGUACUAUAUAGCACAGGGAACUCUACUCAAUACUCUGUAAUGACCUAUAUCAGAAUCUAAAACAGACUGGAUUCACUUUUCUGUACACCUGAAACCUAUACAUUAUAAAUCAACUAUACACCAAUAAAAAUUAAUUAAAAUAAAAAGAAAAAUUGAUGUCACAUUUAUCCUGCCAGAAUUCUAGAUUGGAAUGAUAUUUUGAGCACAGAUUCAAAUUCCACCACCCACGUUUUUUAUAUGAAAUAUUUUAUACAGAAUGUUUCCAAUAUAAAUUUGAAAGGUUAAUAUCAUGAACACUUGUAUACACCACUCAGAUUCAAGAAAUGUUAACAAUUUGCUUGAAUUAUAAGCAUUAUGUUGGUGUUUGUUUGUCUGUAUAAAUUUAUUGUCAAGCUACUUGAAACUGGGUUUGAUAUUUAGCCAUUAAAUACUUCAGCAUACAUUUCCUAUAAGAAAAAUGUCUUCAACAGAGCUUCAAUACUUUUAUCAUCACCUAGGAAUAUUAUAUAAAAAAAAAAAUACCCUGUUAUCAUGCAACUAUCAGGCCAUAUGGUCAAAUUUCCCAAACUCACCAACAGAUGCUUUUAUAGUUUUUUUUUAAACUAGAAAAACUUUUGAAACUUUUAUAGUUUUUUUUCUUUUCUUGAAACUAGUGAGGUUUUUGAAACUAGAAUCCAAUCAAGGUUAUGCACUACAUUUGUCUUAUAUCUUUUGUCAUUUUUAAGCCAGAACAGCCACACAAACAUACUGUUUUUUUUUAAUCCCUGUGACAUGGGCAUUUUGAAGAAGUUAGAACAAUCACCUUAUAAAAUUACCACACUCCUGAUGCACUGUCUCCUGCAACAUUACUUAACAUGCUCCUAUGUCUCCUGUAUUCCCUGUAUAUUGAAACUAAACUAAAGUCUUGAUUAAAUACAGAUGAAACAUUUCAGGCAAGGAUAUUUCAAAGGCAGUGCUAUUGCUUCCAACUGCAUCACACCAGGAGCACACAAUGUCAAGCCAUCCACUAUCAGUGACAUAGCGUUUGAUUCCACCAGUUCUCUCCAAAGCUACAGUGAACCCCCUGCAAGCAGGAAGUAAUCCACAAGAUGCUACUUAGCCUCAUCCAAAUAUUCUAUUUCCGAAUAAACUUUCACCUAAUGGUUCCAUAUUCAUUGAUAAUAACUGCUGGAAUUUAUGAUUUCAGGAUGGCAAAACAGUGGUGUCUAGUAGUAUCAUUCCUUCAACAUUUAUUAGUUGGCAAUCUGGAGUACUCACUUCACUUUAAAAGGCAAUGUGGCUAGCCACCAGUAUUCCACUUUUAAUCUUCCUUCUGAGUAUAUGAUGGGUGGAUUAGUCAGCUUUUGCUUCAGCAACAAACAAGCCCAAAUCUUAUUGACUCACAACAACAAACAUCCCUUAUGAAUCUGUGAUUUGCCUGUGGCUCAGCUGUAGCUCUUCUGGGCUUUGCUCCAGGCUCCAGAUCAGUGUAGUGUGUCUCUCAAACCAGGAGUCUGAAAAAGAAGCAACAGCUCCUGGGGGCCUGCUCUUCUCUUCUUGGAUGUUCUGAGUGCUAAAGAGACAAAGGAUGAGAUGCUUUGUAAAGCCACUGCUCCAGGCCAGUGUGCUGUCACUUCUGCCCACGUGGCAUCAGUUGGAGCAAGUCACAAAGUCAGUAGGGUGAAGUUUA
ensembl:lncRNA